GUCAGAUUGUCUCAAAAUUUUUUGCUUCCGUGCAAAAAAAAUUCAUUUUAAAAUUGGUGUUUAAUCAUAUUUAGUUAUUGUUAAAGCUGGAACUAUAGACUGAUGCAGUCUUUCACCCAGCUCUUCUUAUAAGGAUAUUUACCUAUUUUUUUAUGGUAUUGAAUAUUUCCCGUAUCUUCCAAAGAACACAAUCUUAUUAAAGCGUCUUACUUCACUCGGGUGUUUCAGUGAAGCCCAUCUUUCUAUACAUGACAUAAAUGUAAGGAAAAAUGAAAGAUAGAAGAAUCUCCGCUUGAUCACGACUACUCUCCCUUCGAGAAUUAUUCACUGGCCUUACAAUGUGACCCGUAUUAUACUCGUAGAUGCUCUUUGUUACUGUCUCACCCUGAAUUCAUUUCAAAAUGCCAAUUUCCAUAGUAAUUUAAUGCAGCCGUUAAGACAUCCUCUUUCCUUUGAUCAUUGUUAUUAAUGGUGUGCCAUAACAUACACAAGGCUAGCAAUCCUAGGUACCCUUCCUUAUACAUCCUUGUGCUUUCUCUUUCCAGAACCUGCUCUUCUCCCUCAUUCACUCAGCCACCACCAGCUUCAGUCCCUUGCAAACUUAAGGGGGCUCAUCUCCCACAGGAAGUUCAUUUCAGAGUUAUUAGUUCACGACUCAGGAACUAUGUGGGCAGUUUUCUAUGGUGUGCACAGUCGGAAAAGAAAUUGUUCUUCAACAUUCCCCAGAGAAGCAGGGGCUAGACUCUGGGGUUGAAAAGAUAUCACAAAAUAAGGACAAACUGAGAAACUGUCACAGAUCUGGGGAGAUGAAGGACACAUGAUGACAAAACGUUAUGUGGUAUGUUGCAUUCGACCCUGGAACACAGGGGCUGAAUGGAGAGAUGAGUGGAAUCGAACAAAGUCUGGCAUUUGGUUUAUAGUAAGGUACCAGUGUUGGUAACUUAGUUUUGAAAAAGUAAUGGGAAACAGUAACCUUAAUAAGUAAGACUGAGUGAAGGGGAUAUGGGGACUCUGUACAAUGUCUGCAAUUUUUCGAUAAAUCUAAAGUUAUUCCAAAAUAAAAGUUUAUUUUUAAGAAAAGAUAUCCA
rnacentral:lncRNA from 1 species